UGUCCAGCAGGACAUUGACACUGGCACAGUACAGUGUACUAGAUCACAGAGCUAACUGGAGUUUCACCAGGUUUUGCACAUGCUCAUUUAUGUGUUUGUUACGGUCCUGUUGCGGCUGAUAUCCCAACCACUUGUCGGGUUGAUAGCCUGACCCAUUACCAGGGGAUGUCCAGUCUCCUGAUGAGGGGAAAGAAAGGGGAUAAAAAAAUAACACACAGAGAAUAAAGAACAAUAAUUUAUUACUGGGGGGUGAUCUUUAGCUCUCUCCUGGCUAAAGACCACCUGAUCUCAGCUCUGUCCUGGCUAUGAUCACGAGCUCUGGAGUAGUCAGUCUUUAUCACUAUACAACAUAGCAAGGGGAAUGAAGGCAAAUGUAGGGAGUAGAACUAAUGCACUUAAGGAGCCAGGCUUGGAAAAAGGGAGUAACUGUGUAUUCUUGUGAAGGCCAGGUCACAGUUAACAAGGCCCCUGUGCUAUCUUGCACAUCAUAGCUAACGAGCCACCUGCAUCAUCUGUAGCUAAUGUUUGAUCUUGGAAAAAUGGUUAUGUGGAGUCAUAAUUCCCCAGCUGCAGUGUUUCCUUGCUAUAGAAACAUCACAACCUCACCAUCACUGAGACCAAAAUUGUGACCAUUGCCAUAAGGAAGUCUGUCUCCGAACACCAGCCAAAAGGUAAAUUAGAAAUUCACACUUAGGCCUUGGAAUGACUCAAUCUUAAUCAAUAGCUGAAUUUAUAAGCCAAAUCAAUAUCUGAAGCCUGCUCAGUGUGGUUUCAAGCUGGUCUGUUGCAUUCUUUGACACUUUAUCGCAUGUACAAGUUCACGGAACCAUCAUGACAACCAAGAGUUUUCUCUCAUCACAGAGUGACUCCCUGCUAUCAAUCUUUCAGAGUCCCUUGCUUCCCCUAAACCUUGGAAACCCCAAAGCCUACCUCUGCAUCAUCUCUAUAAUAUUGUUAUUUCAAGAAUAUUUCAUAUAUGGAAUUGUUACCAAUCAGCUGAGUGAUCUUUCCCUCAAUUCAGACAAAUCAUAAUAGGCAGAGUGCAGCUCCCUUGAUGGUACCUGGGCUCUGAGCAGGGCCUGUUAGCUCUUAGCAUUACAGAUCUUAGUGUCAUGGCUCUUGCAGCCCCUGCAGCUACCUGGAGCUCUUCCAGCAGCUCCUGCAGCCUCAUCCGGGCUCUCUGCAGGUUCUGCCAGUUGGCACAGGUUUCUGUCAGUCACUGGCAGUUGCCACUGUUCUUGUUUCAUCACUCUUUGGAAAUUUUCAGGGUUAAUAACCCACAGUAUUAUCAGCUCUUUUAAGUACAACCCACUCAGCCCAGUCUAUCCAAGAUAAGAUUCAUGAGUAGGCAUUCGGAGCACCCAGGCAAGGCCUUUCAUAGGACCUGUGCUGCAUCACAGGGGAACAAUGGAGUGCAGUGGAGGGAGCCCUCUGGGAAUAGCCUUAGGAUCAUGAGGGAGUGUUGCUUAUAGAGGGGGGCCUCCAUGCAUUUUUUUUCCAUACUGCAGGCCUAUUUGGGGACUUUCAGAGUAAUGACUGACAGAGGGGACCAGGGGUACAUGAAGGUUACAGGCUGGAGUCAUCUGGGGUAGGAAAACGUUUCAAGUCUGCUGUGGCCAAGGGAGACGCCUCCCAAGCAGAGGUUGAAUGUCUAGGUCUGCUACCCAAGCGUUCAAGUACUGGGGCUUGGUCUUCAGUGUGCAGUGCUGGGAGGCAAUGGGACCUUUAGAGGUGGAGCCUUGCAGAAGCUCCAAGACUGGUCCUGCUCUGCGUUGUCCUCCUGUCUUGCCGGGUGAUCACUCCCUCGCACAUGCACUCUUGCCAUGCUGCCAGCCACCAUGUGAUGCAGACACAGAGGCCUCACCAGAACCUGCACCAUGCUACGUGGACUUUCAGCUCCCAAAAUUGCAAGCUAAAUAAACUUGUUACCAGCCUCAAAUAUUCCACUAUAGUAACAGAAAGUUAACUAACAUAAGCAGUGAAGGAAAGAUGAUGAGUCAGGAGCAAACCCUUGGGAAAGGGGCAGCAUCUACUACUGGGUUCCACCCAGCACACACUGCAGGGGUGGAGAGGAAACAUGGACCAUUCACCUGCAAGGGACUCUAGGUCAGUAACCCCUCCUGCAUGGAGGAUGGGUCAGGCAACCCAGGCACUGCCAACCCUUUGCUGGUCCAGUAGAGAAGCCAAAGAAACCAGGGAUGAAGUGUUACCUAAGGGCCCAAUGAUACUAAGGGGCAAGAGGACAAACACUGGCAAAACACAAAUGGAGCCCUUUAAUUCCAGCUGUGGGUUCAGAGCACACAUAUUCAUCACGAGUACUUGAGUGCUCAUAUUGAAUACCCUGAUCCCAAAGUUUUUUAAGUCAAGUCUGCCGUGGGCAUGAGGAUGUGCAUUUCUAACACCUUCUUGGGCAGUGCUGCUGCUGCUGCUGCUGGGCUGGGGUCUCCACUCUGAGAAGCGCUGGCUACAUCAAGCCAACUCUAAUCCAUGACGCAUCUUCAGAGUUAAAAAAUAAAUAGCUAAGGAUGAGAAGACAGAAUUUACGAGAAGAGUAAUGAAUGGCCAGUCCCCUCAUCAAAGUGUCAAAACACAGGGUAAAACUAAAGAAAAUCAUACGGUAUCAGCCUAAGAAUGAGCAAGUCGGGCCGGGGAUUUAGCUCAGUGGUGCCACCGCCUGCUUCGCAAGCACAAGUUCCUGAGUUCCAUCUCCGGUACCAAAAAAAAAAAAAAAAUGAGCAGGUAACUGAUGAAACAAAAAAGAUGACCAUGAGAACAUAGUCAAUAUACAAAGUCAACAUGUGAUAGAGGGUGCCGCAGCACAGCCUCAUCCUCUCCGCUGGGGACUUGGAUUAGAUGGAGGGAGAUGCUGAGUCCCAACUGGUCUGUCCGCUGUGUCUUUUGACUGCUUUCGUAUUUUCUCUUUGCCUAGCAUUAUGGAUCCAUUUUUAUCAUCUACCUUCUGACUCACUGAUCCUCUUUCACACCCUACUUAUAACCACCGACCUGUGUGCUGCUGGCCCUGGGCAGAGCCUCCCGGGCCUGCUUGCUACCCUCCCCUCCUGCUUCUGCCUCUCCACAGGUGCAGCCCUCUCUACCCCAACCUCCACUCCUUGGUCACCUCCCUCCUCCCGGGGUAGAGAAACAUGGUGCAUCCACGUGAACCACUCAGGCAUGUGGGCACCCAGCCCCUCAUCAACACUGGUGGGACUGGCCCUGCGGCCUUCACUGAUUACUCGAAGCCCUCCCAAUUCAAAAUUCUGGACAGGUGAGGCUAAGGUUCUCCUGGGUCCACAGCACGGCCCCUCCCGGGCGCCCUCUCUGCAGACGGACACCACAGACGCGGCUCGUAGCACAUGGUACUCUUUAUUGUGACUCUCAGUGGAAAACAUCUGUAAACCAGCUUGCUGUAGUGGUGGCAGCUGCAACACAUGCUAAGGCACUUUGUAUUAUAUAAAAGGGGGUGGCUCGGAGUUCCAUUCACUCCUUUGAGACAGCAACUGGGACCUGAAUUCAGAGCUUUUUAGGCAUAUGUAGCUUCAUGAUUUGAGUUUGUUUCCUUUUUUUAAAAAAAAUGCCUUCUUGCCAUAAGUAAGUCUAAAUGCAGCAUAUACAAAACAGUUAGAAAUACAAGUAAAUUCAGCAACCAGUGUAGACCAGUGUAGGACAAGCUACUCUCUUCUAAACAUGGUUCCAAAGGAAAUGCAGUGACAGACUCAGAAUUGUAUCAUUUAUUACAAGAAGGGGAGAAAAGAAAACUUUUUUUUCCUUUCAAAAAUAAUCUGUGCAGGUGGCAGAUUUUCAAUUGUACGGAGUCAACAGUGCAGAUAAGCUGCCCUCGGGCCCCAGCCCUGGAGGAGGCACAGGAUCACGUGGAGGGCCACCAGCCUUCUCUGGUGCUCUGGCUGCCAGAUCUGGGACAAGUCCCUUAACCAUUAAAUAUAUUUGGUCCCCAAGAGUGUUAGGAGAAGCCACCAGAAGGCUGCUGGCCCUUCCAGCACGGCCGACACCCUGUCUGCUUGGCCUGACAGCCUUGCUGUGCAGGGGCGGGCUGCCCUCGGCAAAGGAGGGGAGGUGGCAUUGCACUUGAGACAUCUUGGAAUCAGGAGGGGCGGUGACAGUGGCACUGCCCAGAGGGGGGUGGGGAGAGCCUCCCUUGCCCCCACAUUGUGUGCCCUGCACAGGGGUGGAACCCAGGGCCGCUCCAUCCGGACCACUCAGGGCCCAGGAGGGUGGGAGUCUGAUGGGACAGAGGCAUGAGGUCAGCACAUGUGAUUGCCAACAGCAGACAAGGGAGGAGGAGGGAGGAGCCGAUGGCGAGGCAGGGGGAAGGUCACAACGCUUCUGGGUGUCGGGCUAUCAAAACUCCUUUAGUCUGAAGAAAAAUAGACUCACAGAAAACGGCGGCUGGCCCCGCAGCCUGCCCACCUUGCCUCGCCACCGGUGCUUUCAGGCAAGAGAGGGUACAGACCUGCUGGUCACGCUUUCUGGGCAUGCGCCCGGCCCUGACUCUUUGGUAUCAGAUUCUCGGAGAGGGGAGGGGCUGGAGGGCUGCAGCCGAGGAAGCCAAUGCCCUCAACAGGGCUGGGGGAAGGGGUCCCGGUCACAGCAGUCCCUAGGCGAGGCGGGGCACUGCAGGGGCGGGGAGAGGUGCGGAGUCAUCUGUCCGUCCACGUCCACCAGGAGGCAGGAGAAGCGGCCUAUUCAGCAGGCUUGGCCUCGGCCCCAUCCACUUUGCCAUCCACCUCCUCGUCUGAGCAGUCGCCAGCACCUUUCCGGGCCAUUCGGCGGGGUACGACAAAGGGCAUGUCCCCACGCCUGAGGACAAAGGCAGAGGGUCAGCAGGGCCCGGCUGCGAGGGCGGGGCGGCAGCACACUGCACACAUUCAAAGCAGACCUUAGGUAGAAACCGGGCACUGCCCGUUCCUGUGAGGGAGAAGCAGCACUGCGCCUGGGGAGUCAUCACAGUGGGUGGGACAGAAGGACACCGGAGGAAGCAGGGCACCCUGCAAACCAGCGAUGCGUCGGACGUCUUAACACUAGCACGGAACAGGUCAGAAAAGCAGGAGGGAAGCACAAAAGCAGCUGAAGCUGCCUCCUGCAACAGGCGCCCCCUCUGAGCAAACUCCUUAUCAAACAAGCGGGGCUGGGCCCAACACUUGCCCCACAGUGCAGAGCCCUGGGCUCCAUCCCCCCUCCAAAGACAAAACAAAACAGGUAGAGACAGGAAUGACUGUUUACACAGGCACAAAGACAGCCAUCUUCAGAUCAUAGCUUAGAAAAUGCACCCUAAAAUACCGAUGACCAAGUCUGGUCUUUUUGCUCUUAGGCCUUAAAAAAAAACAUAGGCCCCAGCCACAGAUGGUGGCAUAUACCUAUAGUCCCAGCUAUUCAGGAGGCUGAGGCAAGAAGAUCGUGAGUUUGAGGGCAGCCUGGGUUACACAGCAAGACACUCUCUCCAACAAAAGGGGCAAGUGUGGUGUUGCACAUCUGGUAUCCCCACUGCUCAGGAGACUGAGGCAAGUGCAUCAAGUUUGAGGCCAGCCUUGGCAACUCAGCAAGACCCUUGCUCAAAGCAAAGACAAAAAGGACUGGGGAUAUUGCUCAGCAGCAGUGUGCUUGCCUAGGACACACGAGGUCCUGGGCUCCAUCACCAGUGGCGCCAAAAAGGUGGGAGAAGGAAAGAGCAAUGAGAUUCUUGGAGAAAGAGAUGACCUCCUGCAACCCCCUGACCCCUCUCGGAAGCUGCCUGUCCCUGAGGGGCGCUCAGCAGUUCCCCAACUUUCCCAUGCACCACAUGUCGGGCUGGCAUGCACCCUGCAGGUAUUUAUUUCCUAGGUGCCUGCUAUGUGCUAGGGAUGCAGCCAGGUGGCCUCCAGCAACUUCUGAUUCAAAGCUCCCAGCCUGGAAAUGUCCUCGUCAAGCCUGGAGCUUCUGGAAGGUGGACUUUUGAUACCAGCUGGGAAUAAAUCACCAGGAGUUUCCUGUGUGUUCCCAAGGCUGGGCUAAGGCCACAGAGGCCAGCAGAACCCGUGAAGGGCACGCACUGCUCUGCAACGGGCACCUUCCGGAUGAGUCCCUGAGCACCUGCCCAUGAGCCGCGGCGGAGAGCAGGGUCCAAGUGUCUACGGAGGGAACUCGGACCGCCGGUGUGACUCACCUCAGCUUGUUCUUCAGGGAGCUGACCUCCCGGUUCAUGGCGUCGGCCGUCUCCGUGGCGCCCUCCAGCUCGCGCUGCAGCUUCCGGCGGGAGGCGUUGGCCCGCUGGGCCUCUUCCUCGGCCUCCUCUAGCUGCCGCUUGAGCUGCUUCAGGCGCGUGGACGCCUUGUCAGCCUGCACAGACGGGCGGCCAGGGGACCCGGUUAGGGGCUCUGGUUGUGCGCCCGGCGGCCCGCCCGCCUGCACCCUGGCCCGGCUCUGCGCACACCUGGUCUUUGUACUGCUCCGCGCUUCUGCGCUCGUCAUCCACCUGCAGCAGCACGUCCUUCAGCCUCUUCUCGGCCCGCGCACCUGCUUGGAGGCUGCCUGCCGCUCCCUGCGCGGCACAGACACGUGGCUCGGGGACCUCCCCGGGGCUCGGCCAAGGAGCCUCAAGUUGCUGACCCCACAGGGUGGCCUCGAGGCCACGGGGCAGGUCUUCCCCGGACACCCGCUAGGUGGUGUGUCUCUGAGGACAGGCACUGUGAUUAUGGCCACUUUACAGAUGAGGCGACCGGGCCCCGAGGAGGCUAUUCAUGCAUGUGCAAAGGGAAUGGGGAACAGAGGGCUGGGACUCAGCGAGGUCCCCAUUACCCCCAGGAAGUGUCUCUCUGAGCCCACAGGCGGCUGACCAGGCGGGCAUGACAUUGCACCUCUCUACUGAAGCCCUCAAGGUCAACCUUCAACUCCGAGUCAAACCCCGAACCCCUCCAGCAAGAGGGACAAGGACUGCCCUGAGAGGAAGACAGCCCCUGGACCCAGGAGGCCAAGGACAGGCCCACAGCAAGGCAUACGGCUGCUCCAGGGGGCAGACAGAAAGACUGCCGCUGUGCGCCUGGCACCUGGGGGGGGGGGGGGGGGGGCACGUACUUGGUCUCGUUGUCCAGCUGCUCCUCCAGCUGGGCGAUCUUGGCCUCCAGGGCAGUGAUGGAGGCCUUGUACUUGGACUUCACAGAGCUCUCCAUCUCCUGCAGCUUGACCUUGAGCUCCUUGUUCUGACGCUCCAGCUGCUGCCUGGCAUUCUCGUUCUUCUGGGCGUGGCUGCGCUCCAGGUUCAGGUCGGUGUUGAUCUGGUCGAUCUGCAGGAAGGAAAACCAGUGGCCUUGAGUCGGGCUGGGCUCUGGCUACUACGACUGUUCACCACUGGGGCUAGAGAAAGGGGACAGGAAGAUCCCACCAGACGCUGCUCUCCCAAAAUGGGCCCGGAGACCGCCACGGGCACCAAGACAUUUCCCAGAAGCAACCAGGAACGAGUGAGCCCUCAGCCUCUGCCAACUGCUGCCUCUAUGUGCACAAGGAGCUCAGAUCCUGGGCCAGGAGCCCUGGUGUGGAAGGCGGCCCGGCCACCCUGGAGCCCACCUGCAGGUUGGCCUUCUUCAGCCGGUCGUUGAUCAGCUCCGUGUUGCCCUGCUCCUCCUCCAGCUCCUCCUCCAGACGUCGCUUCUCCUCCAGUGCCAGGGCUCUGGGGAGGGUGAGGAAAAUGAGGGGUCUGUGGGUGGGGAAGACACUCCAGCCCCACUCCUGGCUCCUCACUCAACUCACCCUUUGCCACUGCUGUUGGCAAUUUCGUCCGCCAGCUCAUCCCGCUCCUGCUGGGCCUGGCGCUUGGCACGCUCGGCAGCUGCCAGUUCCUGCCACGAGGACCCAGAAUGUGACCACUGGGACUGCCACGGCCUCCGUUCCCAGCACUCCACAGACACCUUGAGGUACUGCCCUCCCCAAGCCCCAACUCUCCUCUCUUCCACGAAGCCCUCCUCCCUGAACCUCUCUGGCUCACAAGGUGAGUCCUCCUCUGAGAUCACAGCUUUAAGUACCACAUGUUCACAGAACCCCUCCAAGUGCAAGGACUCAAGCCAGGUGUCAGAGAUACAAGAAACAUCCUGGCCUAAAAGAGGGGACAAGUAGACAGAUCCUCGGUGCUGGCUGCUUUGCAUUCCCGGCAGACCAGGGGUCAGGAGAUGGAGGCGUAAACCCAGGAUGAACCCUGAGGUCGCUUCACACCAGGUGCAGGGACAGGUUUCACUCAGAGGGGGAGGCAGCCUCCACAAGGGCCACAGUGACAGUGGAGGGAAAGAUCACCCCGGCCCCAGGAGAGCAGGGGAGGACGUUCCGGCCUCAGGUCUGGCUGAGCACCUCCUAAGCCAGAACAUCACACUGUAGGAGACCCUCUAGCAUGCUUUGCUAUGAGGCUGCCAUGUGACUGACAAGGCAGCCAAAAGGACACUCAGGCCCUCUUGAGGGAAUAAUUCACAGCGGGAGGUAUGAGUAUAUGAUUAUCACAAGGCCUCAGCACGCGGCCUGAACUGUCACAAUUUCACCUCCACACACAAUGACCACACAAGGGACCUCACUACAGAACGAAGCCCUGGAGGGAGCCCUUCCAACUCAUGCUGGAGUUUGCUCGCUUGCUUCCAGCCCUCCCACUUGCUAGGGCAGAUGGGCGAUGGCUCUGAGCUGCCGCCUGCUGGGUGUCUCCCCGGGGCCCAGCUCACCUCCUGCAGCUGAAUCAUCUCGGCCUCCAUGCUCUUCAGCUUCUUCUCGUUCUCCUUGGCCUGCGCCAGGAUCUCCUCCCGGGAGGCACGCGUGUCAUCCAGCUCGCGCAUGCAGUCCUUCAUCUGGGCCUG
ensembl:lncRNA